GCUUGGGGUCCUAGGGUUCCCGCCUUCGCCCUCUGCUACGCGCCGCGCCAUCUCUUUUCUCGCCGCUGCACAUGAAAAGAAAUCUCUUUUCUCCCCGCUGCACAUGAAGGUUCUCGGGAAGCUCCCUGACCCGCUCGCCUCGCCCCUGGCCCACCUCGUCCUCCUCGGCCUGGUGCAGGGAGGCGUGAGGGCGGGGUGGGGCAGCUACCGCUUGUCCCUAUCCCGGCCUAAUUCCUUCAACUCCCCGGUCCCCGGUAACCAUUUUCCCUCCCCGCCCGUAUUUUCCCCUAAGAACAACAGUUCUUUCCUCCUGACCACCUUGGCGGCGUCUUCUGCAGGUUUUGCGUCUCCUAACUUGUGUACAGUGGAGUUUUCCGGAGACUACAUGACAUGUGAUACGGAAACAUUGAAAAAGGAAGCAGAUAAUAAAAUCCAGUCAUCUGCAGUUAAACCAGACAUUAAGGAGAUUUGCAAAAACUUUAAUUCACAGGCCACCAUGUGCUGAACCUAAGAGAGUAAAGUUUUUCCUCCCCGACAAAAGUUUUGCCUCUUCGUCUGCAUAUAUGAAUGCUUAUAUCCUUUUUACCUAAUAGGGUUUUGUGAGGGCUAUAUAAAGGGCCUAUCACACAAUUUACUCGGUACAUGGCUGCCCUCCUAGACUAAAUUCCUUAGCCUUCUGCACAAGAUGAGACAUAGUAAGAGACACAGGAAGACCAAGACAGAGAGAGAGAGAGAGAGAGAGAAGAGAGACAGAGAGACUCCAGAUCCAAUAGUUCCUUUCUGGAUAACUGGACAAAAAAGUAAAGAGGAGGAUCUAGAAUUCAUUCUGAUGGGAAACCCCACACGGUAACAGAUGUGGAGUGUGCACACAUAUUCUGGCUGUCCUGUAGAACUUGGGUUGCUGGGUGAUUCUCUGGGGAGACCACUAUGGACGGAAUGUUUGUGUCCCUUUGGAAUUUGUAUGUUGAAACCUAACCCCUAAGGUGAUGGUAUUUGGAGGUGGGGCUUUUGGGAGGUGAUUAGGUCAUGAGGAUGGAGCUCUCAUGGAUGAGAUCAAUGCCUUUAUAAAAGUGACUCCAGAGAGAUCCCUCACCCCCUCUGCCAUGUGAGGACACAGAAAUAAAAUGGCAGCCUAUGAAGCAGGAAGCUAGUUCUCAUCAGACACUGAAUCUGGUGGCACCCUCUCUUGGACUUCUCAGUCUCCAGAACUGUGGGAAAUGAAUGUUUGUUGUUGAAGCCAAAUGGCCUAUGGCAUUUUUGUUAUAGCAGCCUAAACUGACUAAGACAGCCACCAACCCAACCUGCAGACAUACGCACAGUUCUGUAGGACUUGGAGUGACAAAGGCUACCAUGGGCAGCCGGAAGCAAUGCCUGAAUGCUACUCUGUAGGAAAUAAGUCAAACUCAGGGGAAGGAUUAAGGAUGCUGGGACAGGUUGUGUGGAUAAAGAAAGAGUAUGCAGAUAGAUAAACCUAAGAAAAGGGAAACCAGGGGCGCCUGGGUGGCUCAGUUGGUUAAGCAACUGCCUUCGGCUCAGGUCAUGAUCCCGGGGUCCUGGGAUCGAGUCCCACGUCGGACUCCUUGCUCAGCGGGGAGCCUGCUUCUCCCUCUCCCACUCCCCCUGCUUGUGUUCCCUCUCUCACUGUGUCUCUCUCUGUCAAAUAAAUAAAUAAAAUCUUUAAAAAAAAAGAAAAGGGAAACCAGGUGAGUAACCAGAGAUACCUACAGAGUCUAGAGCUGCCUCAUCCAAUGCAGCAGCUACUACUUCAGGUAGCUACUGAGCACCAAAAUGUGGCUAGGCUGAAUUAAGAUGUGCUUUAAAUGUGAAAAUACACAUCAGAUUCCAAAGGCAACACAAAGAAAGAACUGAAGAUGCUUCAUUAAUAUUUUUGAAUGCUAAUUACAUGUUGAAAUGAUAAUAUUUUGGCUAUAUUGGGUUGAAUAAAUGUAUUAUUCUGUAUUACCUGUUUCUUUUUACUUUUUAAAAUGUGACUACUAAAAACUUUAAAAUCACGUUUGUGGCUUGCAUUGUGUUUCUCUUGGGCAGUACUGCACUAGACUGUGGGUCGGCAAAUUUUAGUUCACAGGCCAAACCUAGCCCAAACCCUAUUUUUGUAAAUAAAGUUUUAUUGGAA